GGGGCCUAUACAUGCAAGUCGAACGCACUCUCGUUUAGAUUGAAGGAGCUUGCUCCUGAUUGAUAAACAUUUGAGUGAGUGGCGGACGGGUGAGUAACACGUGGGUAACCUGCCCUAAAGUGGGGGAUAACAUUUGGAAACAGAUGCUAAUACCGCAUAAAACCUAACACCGCAUGGUGUAGGGUUGAAAGAUGGUUUCGGCUAUCACUUUAGGAUGGACCCGCGGUGCAUUAGUUAGUUGGUGAGGUAAAGGCUCACCAAGACCGUGAUGCAUAGCCGACCUGAGAGGGUAAUCGGCCACACUGGGACUGAGACACGGCCCAGACUCCUACGGGAGGCAGCAGUAGGGAAUCUUCCACAAUGGACGAAAGUCUGAUGGAGCAACGCCGCGUGAGUGAAGAAGGUUUUCGGAUCGUAAAACUCUGUUGUUGGAGAAGAAUGUAUCUGAUAGUAACUGAUCAGGUAGUGACGGUAUCCAACCAGAAAGCCACGGCUAACUACGUGCCAGCAGCCGCGGUAAUACGUAGGUGGCAAGCGUUGUCCGGAUUUAUUGGGCGUAAAGCGAGCGCAGGCGGUUUCUUAAGUCUGAUGUGAAAGCCUUCGGCUCAACCGAAGAAGUGCAUCGGAAACUGGGAAACUUGAGUGCAGAAGAGGACAGUGGAACUCCAUGUGUAGCGGUGAAAUGCGUAGAUAUAUGGAAGAACACCAGUGGCGAAGGCGGCUGUCUGGUCUGUAACUGACGCUGAGGCUCGAAAGCAUGGGUAGCAAACAGGAUUAGAUACCCUGGUAGUCCAUGCCGUAAACGAUGAGUGCUAGGUGUUGGAGGGUUUCCGCCCUUCAGUGCCGCAGCUAACGCAUUAAGCACUCCGCCUGGGGAGUACGACCGCAAGGUUGAAACUCAAAGGAAUUGACGGGGGCCCGCACAAGCGGUGGAGCAGGUGGUUUAAUUCGAAGCAACGCGAAGAACCUUACCAGGUCUUGACAUCCUUUGACCACUCUAGAGAUAGAGCUUUCCCUUCGGGGACAAAGUGACAGGUGGUGCAUGGUUGUCGUCAGCUCGG
rnacentral:rRNA from 1 species